UACGUAGGGGGCUAGCGUUGUCCGGAUUUAUUGGGCGUAAAGAGCGCGUAGGCGGCUAGGCAAGUCCGACGUGAAAUCUGGAGGCUCAACCUCCAGCGGUCGUUGGAAACUACUUGGCUAGAGUCCGGAAGAGGAGAGUGGAAUUCCUGGUGUAGCGGUGAAAUGCGCAGAUAUCAGGAAGAACACCGAUGGCGAAAGCAGCUCUCUGGGACGGUACUGACGCUGAGGCGCGAAAGCGUGGGGAGCGAACAGG
rnacentral:rRNA from 1 species